UGUGUCCAUUCCACGGCUACAUACGCAUCCAAUUCUAAACAUCAGCUGAUCGUCUCCCCCGCUGCGUCUCUUCAUUGCGCGUGCUCUUUAUGAACUUUUCCGCCUGCGUGCGACUGGUCAUGUGCACUUUUUGCAUGCGGUCUCACAUGAUUUACCACGUAUUCCUGGCUGCUGCCUGUCUUGACGUGCUUGUUGGUGAACCACCACCCUU
ensembl:ncRNA C14F5.11 ncRNA